rnacentral:rRNA from 1 species
UACGUAGGGGGCAAGCGUUGUCCGGAAUCAUUGGGCGUAAAGAGCGUGUAGGCGGUCCGGUAAGUCCGCUGUGAAAGUCCAGGGCUCAACCCUGGAAUGCCGGUGGAAACUGUCAGGCUCGAGUCCGGAAGAGGCGAGUGGAAUUCCUGGUGUAGCGGUGAAAUGCGCAGAUAUCAGGAGGAACACCAAUGGCGAAGGCAGCUCGCUGGGACGGUACUGACGCUGAGACGCGAAAGCGUGGGGAGCAAACAGG